UUAAGCGACUAAGCGUACACGGUGGAUGCCCUGGCAGUCAGAGGCGAUGAAGGACGUGCUAAUCUGCGAUAAGCGUCGGUGAGGUGAUAUGAACCGUUAUAACCGGCGAUUUCCGAAUGGGGAAACCCAGUGUGUUUCGACACACUAUCAUUAACUGAAUCCAUAGGUUAAUGAGGCGAACCGGGGGAACUGAAACAUCUAAGUACCCCGAGGAAAAGAAAUCAACCGAGAUUCCCCCAGUAGCGGCGAGCGAACGGGGAGGAGCCCAGAGCCUGAAUCAGUGUGUGUGUUAGUGGAAGCGUCUGGAAAGGCGCGCGAUACAGGGUGACAGCCCCGUACACAAAAAUGCACAUAUUGUGAGCUCGAUGAGUAGGGCGGGACACGUGGUAUCCUGUCUGAAUAUGGGGGGACCAUCCUCCAAGGCUAAAUACUCCUGACUGACCGAUAGUGAACCAGUACCGUGAGGGAAAGGCGAAAAGAACCCCGGCGAGGGGAGUGAAAAAGAACCUGAAACCGUGUACGUACAAGCAGUGGGAGCCUCUUAAUGGGGUGACUGCGUACCUUUUGUAUAAUGGGUCAGCGACUUAUAUUCUGUAGCAAGGUUAACCGAAUAGGGGAGCCGGAGGGAAACCGAGUCUUAACUGGGCGUUAAGUUGCAGGGUAUAGACCCGAAACCCGGUGAUCUAGCCAUGGGCAGGUUGAAGGUUGGGUAACACUAACUGGAGGACCGAACCGACUAAUGUUGAAAAAUUAGCGGAUGACUUGUGGCUGGGGGUGAAAGGCCAAUCAAACCGGGAGAUAGCUGGUUCUCCCCGAAAGCUAUUUAGGUAGCGCCUCGUGAAUUCAUCUCCGGGGGUAGAGCACUGUUUCGGCAAGGGGGUCAUCCCGACUUACCAACCCGAUGCAAACUGCGAAUACCGGAGAAUGUUAUCACGGGAGACACACGGCGGGUGCUAACGUCCGUCGUGAAGAGGGAAACAACCCAGACCGCCAGCUAAGGUCCCAAAGUCAUGGUUAAGUGGGAAACGAUGUGGGAAGGCCCAGACAGCCAGGAUGUUGGCUUAGAAGCAGCCAUCAUUUAAAGAAAGCGUAAUAGCUCACUGGUCGAGUCGGCCUGCGCGGAAGAUGUAACGGGGCUAAACCAUGCACCGAAGCUGCGGCAGCGACGCUUAUGCGUUGUUGGGUAGGGGAGCGUUCUGUAAGCCUGCGAAGGUGUGCUGUGAGGCAUGCUGGAGGUAUCAGAAGUGCGAAUGCUGACAUAAGUAACGAUAAAGCGGGUGAAAAGCCCGCUCGCCGGAAGACCAAGGGUUCCUGUCCAACGUUAAUCGGGGCAGGGUGAGUCGACCCCUAAGGCGAGGCCGAAAGGCGUAGUCGAUGGGAAACAGGUUAAUAUUCCUGUACUUGGUGUUACUGCGAAGGGGGGACGGAGAAGGCUAUGUUGGCCGGGCGACGGUUGUCCCGGUUUAAGCGUGUAGGCUGGUUUUCUAGGCAAAUCCGGAAAAUCAAGGCUGAGGCGUGAUGACGAGGCACUACGGUGCUGAAGCAACAAAUGCCCUGCUUCCAGGAAAAGCCUCUAAGCAUCAGGUAACAUCAAAUCGUACCCCAAACCGACACAGGUGGUCAGGUAGAGAAUACCAAGGCGCUUGAGAGAACUCGGGUGAAGGAACUAGGCAAAAUGGUGCCGUAACUUCGGGAGAAGGCACGCUGAUAUGUAGGUGAAGCGACUUGCUCGUGGAGCUGAAAUCAGUCGAAGAUACCAGCUGGCUGCAACUGUUUAUUAAAAACACAGCACUGUGCAAACACGAAAGUGGACGUAUACGGUGUGACGCCUGCCCGGUGCCGGAAGGUUAAUUGAUGGGGUUAGCGGUAACGCGAAGCUCUUGAUCGAAGCCCCGGUAAACGGCGGCCGUAACUAUAACGGUCCUAAGGUAGCGAAAUUCCUUGUCGGGUAAGUUCCGACCUGCACGAAUGGCGUAAUGAUGGCCAGGCUGUCUCCACCCGAGACUCAGUGAAAUUGAACUCGCUGUGAAGAUGCAGUGUACCCGCGGCAAGACGGAAAGACCCCGUGAACCUUUACUAUAGCUUGACACUGAACAUUGAGCCUUGAUGUGUAGGAUAGGUGGGAGGCUUUGAAGUGUGGACGCCAGUCUGCAUGGAGCCGACCUUGAAAUACCACCCUUUAAUGUUUGAUGUUCUAACGUUGGCCCGUAAUCCGGGUUGCGGACAGUGUCUGGUGGGUAGUUUGACUGGGGCGGUCUCCUCCUAAAGAGUAACGGAGGAGCACGAAGGUUGGCUAAUCCUGGUCGGACAUCAGGAGGUUAGUGCAAUGGCAUAAGCCAGCUUGACUGCGAGCGUGACGGCGCGAGCAGGUGCGAAAGCAGGUCAUAGUGAUCCGGUGGUUCUGAAUGGAAGGGCCAUCGCUCAACGGAUAAAAGGUACUCCGGGGAUAACAGGCUGAUACCGCCCAAGAGUUCAUAUCGACGGCGGUGUUUGGCACCUCGAUGUCGGCUCAUCACAUCCUGGGGCUGAAGUAGGUCCCAAGGGUAUGGCUGUUCGCCAUUUAAAGUGGUACGCGAGCUGGGUUUAGAACGUCGUGAGACAGUUCGGUCCCUAUCUGCCGUGGGCGCUGGAGAACUGAGGGGGGCUGCUCCUAGUACGAGAGGACCGGAGUGGACGCAUCACUGGUGUUCGGGUUGUCAUGCCAAUGGCACUGCCCGGUAGCUAAAUGCGGAAGAGAUAAGUGCUGAAAGCAUCUAAGCACGAAACUUGCCCCGAGAUGAGUUCUCCCUGAGACUUUAAGUCUCCUGAAGGAACGUUGAAGACGACGACGUUGAUAGGCCGGGUGUGUAAGCGCAGCGAUGCGUUGAGCUAACCGGUACUAAUGAACCGUGAGGCUUAACCUU
rnacentral:rRNA from 1 species